rnacentral:rRNA from 1 species
UCCUCCCUCUUUCUUCGUGCUUAACACAUGCAAGUCGAACGGAAAGGCCUCUUUCGGGGGGUACUCGAGUGGCGAACGGGUGAGUAACACGUGAGUAACCUGCCCUUGACUUUGGGAUAACUUCAGGAAACUGGGGCUAAUACCGGAUAGGAGCUCCUGCUGCAUGGUGGGGGUUGGAAAGUUUCGGCGGUUGGGGAUGGACUCGCGGCUUAUCAGCUUGUUGGUGGGGUAGUGGCUUACCAAGGCUUUGACGGGUAGCCGGCCUGAGAGGGUGACCGGCCAUAUUGGGACUGAGAUACGGCCCAGACUCCCACGGGAGGCAGCAGUGGGGAAUAUUGCACAAUGGGUGGAAGCCUGAUGCAGAAACGCCGGGUGCGGGAUGACGGCCUUCGGGUUGUAAACCGCUUUCGCUCAUGACGAAGCUUUGUGUGACGGUAGUGGGUAAAGAAGCACCGGCUAACUACGUG